rnacentral:rRNA from 1 species
GACCGAUAGUGAACCAGUACCGUGAGGGAAAGUGAAAAGUACUUCGAAUAGAAGGUGAAAUAGAUCCUGAAACCAUACGCUUACAAGCUGUCGGAGCCCUCUUAAUUUUAUUAGGAGUAGGGUGACGACGUGCCUUUUGCAUAAUGAACCUACGAGUUAAUUUUUCCGGCAAGGUUAAGUAGUUCAGCUAUGGAGCCGUACCGAACGCAAGUCUGAAUAGGGCAUUUAGUCAGAACAAUUAUACACCAAACCGAAUGAUCAACGCAUGAUGCAGGUUAAGCUGUGGUAACACAUAGUGGAGGACCGAACCGGUCGACGUUGAAAAGUCUUCGGAUGACUUGUGGGUAGGGGUGAAAGGCUAAUCAAACUCGGAGAUAGCUCGUAUCUCCCAGAAUGCAUUUAGGUGCAGCAGCGUGUUGAAUAUGACAGAGGUAGAGCUACUAGAUUGGAUGAAGGGGUUUCAUCACCUACUAAUUCCUGAUAGACUCCGAUGCUGUUAUUAUGUUUCACUGUAGUGAGGGCAUGGGUGCUAAGAUCCAUGUCCAAGAGGGAAACAACCCAGACCAUCAGUUAAGGUCUCUAAUAUAUAUAAGUUGUAUAAACAAAGUUUAAUUACACAGACAGCCUAGGAUGUUGGCUUAGAAGCAG